rnacentral:rRNA from 1 species
UACGGAAGGCAGCAGUGGGGAAUAUUGCACAAUGGGCGAAAGCCUGAUGCAGCUAUGCCGCGUGUAUGAAGAAGGCCUUAGGGUUGUAAAGUACUUUCAUCGGGGAGGAAAAACAAAACUAAUAAUUUUAUUUCUUGACGUUACCCGAAAAAGAAGCACCGGCUAACUCCGUGCCAGCAGCCGCGGUAAUACGGAGGGUGCUAGCGUUAAUCAGAAUUACUGGGCGUAAAGAGCACGUAGGUGGUUUUUUUAAGUCAGAUGUGAAUCCCUGGGCUUAACCUGGAACUGCAUUUUGAAACUGAAAUACUAGAGUAUCGUAGAGGGAGGUAGAAUUCUAGGUGUAGCGGUGAAAUGCGUAGAUAUCUGGAGGAAUACCUGUGGCGAAAGCGGCCUCCUAAACGAAUACUGACACUGAGGUGCGAAAGCGUGGGGAGCGAAACAGGGAUUAGGAUA